UACGUAGGGCGCAAGCGUUGUCCGGAAUUAUUGGGCGUAAAGAGCUCGUAGGCGGCUUGUCACGUCGGGUGUGAAAUCUUGGAGCUUAACUCCGAAACUGCAUUCGAUACUGCCGUGCUUGAGGACUGGAGAGGAGACUGGAAUUCAUGGUGUAGCAGUGAAAUGCGUAGAGAUCAUGAGGAAGACCAGUGGCGAAGGCGGGUCUCUGGACAGUUCCUGACACUGAGGCACGAAGGCCAGGGGAGCAAACGGG
rnacentral:rRNA from 1 species